rnacentral:lncRNA from 1 species
UGCAUAAUGUUGAGAGUAUCGGGAACGACAAUGCUUGAUCUUCAUUCUUGCUAGAUUGGGCACUCUAUUGUCUAGCUAUAGGUGGGGGGUGAGAGUUGUGAUUAUGAUUUGGGAGAAAUGAAAAAGGAAAAGAAAUGACUAUUUGUGUUUAAGUGAAUUGUCUUAUUGGGAUAAGUAGAAAAAACCUCUAGCUCAAUUUAUGAAAAGUCUUGGCCCCCAUCUGAAAAAGGGGGUAAAAAAAAAAAAAAAAGUUAAAAAACAAUAAAAAAAAAAAAAAAAAAAAAAAAAAGAAAUAAAAUAUGAAAAGAAAAGAAAAAGAAAGAAAAAGGGGCUAGCAAAGUUGUUAGAAGCUAAAUAAUGUUUUGAGGUUGUGAAAAAUCCCUUGUAGAUUUCAAAGAGAAGGAGUUAAUGUUCUUAGGAUCUUUUGGUGAGAGAUGUGAGUUGGGUUUGACAUUUGGGAAUGAUUGUGUAAUUGUAUAUUUGGGAAUAGGGUAGAACAAUGGAGAUUGAGCAUUGUAUGCAUGAGUUGAUCCCUUUCUUAGAUAUAUUAUGUGCAAUGUCAAGGCUACUUGUUUUGAGAGUGAACCACCUUUAAAAUCAUAUAUUUUGAACCUCUUGACUCACUUGAAUAAAAGUCUUCCCUUACCCAACCAAAUGACUUGGACCAACUGACCAUUUGCAAAAAUUCACUUGAUGCUAUGCUUAAUGAACUUGAGAGUUGGCUGAUUUGCAUGUGUGAAUGCAUGAUGAUGAGUGUAGGGAUGGAAAGAGUUCAGAUAGGCCUAGAGAAGCUAGAGUAUAAUAAGAGAGGGUGUACUAAUGCUGAAUUUAAAUGUUGAUUUGAGUGCUUUGUGUGUUUCUUUUGGCUAUGAGC